GUUUUAAUAAUUUAAAUAAAAUAUUGGUCUUGUAAACCAAAAAUGAAAAUUUCUUAAAACU
rnacentral:tRNA from 1 species